rnacentral:rRNA from 1 species
CCUACGGGGGACAGCAGUGAGGAAUAUUGGUCAAUGGCCGGAAGGCUGAACCAGCCAUGCCGCGUGAAGGUCAGUGCCCUAUGGGCGUUAAACUUCUUUUGUGCGGGAGCAAUAAUGGUCACGUGUGGCCAGACGAGAGUUCCGUACUAAUAAGCAUCCGCUAACUUCGUGCCAGCAGCCGCCGUAAUUCGGGGGAUGCAGGCGUUUUUCGGGUUUUAUGGGUUUAAAGGGUGCGUAGGCUGGGAGGUAAGUCAGCGUUGAAAUGCCUGCGCUCAACGGGGUGAAGUGCCAUUGAUACUGGCGUGCUGGAAUGCGGAUGCGGUAGGAGGAAUGUGUGGUGUAGCGGUGAAAUGCAUAGAUAUCACACAGAACACCGAUUGCGAAGGCAUCUCACGAAUCCGCGAUUGACGCUGAUGCACGAAAGCGUGGGUAUCAAACAGGAUUAGAUACCCCUGUAGUC